CGGCGAGUGAACAGGAAAAAGCUCAAAGUUGGAACCUGUUUGGCCUAGCUAAACCGGAUUGUAAACUGUAGAAGUGUUUUCCAGGCAAGCCGGACCGAUAAGUCCUUUGGAACAGGGCAUCAUAGAGGGUGAGAAUCCCGUCUUCGGUCUGAGCAUUUGCCUUUUGCGAUACACUUUCAAAGAGUCAGGUUGUUUGGGAAUGCAGCCUAAAUUGGGUGGUAAAUCUCACCUAAAGCUAAAUAUUGGCGAGAAACCGAUAGCGAACAAGUACCGUGAGGGAAAGAUGAAAAGAACUUUGAAAAGAGAGUUAAACAGUAUGUGAAAUUGUUAAAAGGGAACCGUUUGGAGCCAGACUGGCUUGUCUGUAAUCAGUCUAAGUUUCGGCUUGGAUGCACUUGCAGGCUAUGCCUGCCAACGACAAUUUGGCUUGAGGGAAAAAACUAGGGGAAAUGUGGCCCAUUCGUGGGUGUUAUAGUCCCUUAGAAAAUACCUUGGGCUGGAUUGAGGUACGCAGCGAAUGCUAUUUGGCGAGUUGGCUGGGAAUAUUUUCUGAGGUGCUCUGGUACUGAGGUUGAUAUUUCCAGUUACACUUCUAUUCGCUUAGGUUGUUGGCUUAAUGACUCUAAAUG
rnacentral:rRNA from 1 species